rnacentral:lncRNA from 1 species
UCGGGGUGGGGAUCUGAACUGUUUACAAGUUCUCAAACAAGAGGGGGUGGGGUGACCCCUAGGGUCUUCCCUUUUAAUUAUAUCUCAUUUGUUAUAUUGUUUCCUACAAGGAAAUAUAUGGUUAAGGGGUGGGGAUCUUGACCGUUUAAAAGAUAAUAGUACAUUCUCAAAUUGAACAGGGUGGGGUGACACCCCCAGGGACUUCCCUUUGAUUUCAUUUGAUUUGUUUAAUCAUCCCAUUCAAGAAUAUAUAUGGUUUAGGGUGGGGAUCUUGAACGUUUAAAAGAAAAUAUCACAUUCUCAAAUUGAACGGGGUGGGGUGACACCCCCAGGGACUUCCCUUUAAUUUCAUUUGAUUUGUUUAAUCAUCCCAUUGAAGAACAUAUAUGGUUUAGGGGUGGGGAUCUUGAACGUUUAAAAGAUAAUAGCACAUUCUCAAAUUGAACGGGGUGGGGUGACCCCAAGGACUUCCCAUUAAUUUCAUUUGAUUUGUUUAAUCAUCCCAUUCAAGAAUAUAUAUGGUUUAGGGGUGGGGAUCUGAACUGUUAACAAGUUCUCAAACAAGAGGGGGUGGGGUGAUCCCCUACGGUCUUCCCUUUUUAUUCAUUCCCUUUGUUGUAUUGUCCCCUACAAUAAAAUGUAUGGUUUAGGGGUGGGGAUCAGGACCGUUAACAAGUUAGUAUCAGAUUUUCAAAUUGAACAGGGUGGGGGUGACCCCCAAGAGACUUCCUUUUUAUUUGAUUUGAUUUGUUUAUUGUCCGCUACAAGAAUAUAUAUGGUUUAGGGGUGGGGAUCUGGACCGUUUACAGGAUAAUAGCAUAUUCUCAAAUCGAACAGGUUGGGGUGACCCCCCAGGGAUUUCCCUUUAAUUUCUUUGGAUUUGAUUUAUCGUCCCAUUCAAGAAAAUAUAUAGUUAAGGGGUGGGGAUCUGGACCGUUUACAAGAUAAAAGCAUAUAUUAUCAAAUUGAAGGGGGUGGGGAUGACUCCCAUGGACUCACUCUCAAUCUCAUGUAAUUUGUUUAAUUGUUAAGUGAUAAUUUCUGAAGAUUGUGUGUGUUUAUCACUUUCAGUUUUCAAGUUAUAUUCAUUUGACAAUUUUAGAAAAUAAACUCCCUCCCUUCUUUCUAUCAAGGAGAAAAAAAUCAUAAUUCUCAACAUUGCAUUAUUUAAUGUUUAUCAUAACACACAGUAUCGUUUGGAAUUUGUUUCAGAAAAAUAUACGGUAAUACGGGUAAUAACAAUAAAAUUGCCGAAGACAUCACGAGUUGUCUCCCGAAAUUACA